rnacentral:rRNA from 1 species
CGCGUAGGUGGUUUGUUAAGUUGGAUGUGAAAGCCCCGGGCUCAACCUGGGAACUGCAUCCAAAACUGGCAAGCUAGAGUACGGUAGAGGGUGGUGGAAUUUCCUGUGUAGCGGUGAAAUGCGUAGAUAUAGGAAGGAACACCAGUGGCGUAGGCGACCACCUGGACUGAUACUGACGCUGAGACGCGAAAGCGUGGGUAGCAAACA